CCGCGCGUAGCUCAGCCUGGUAGAGCAACUGCCUUUUAAGCAGAUGGUCGGGGGUUCGAAUCCCUCCGCGCGGACCA
rnacentral:tRNA from 1 species